rnacentral:rRNA from 1 species
GAGUUUGAUCCUGGCUCAGGAUGAACGCUGGCGGCGUGCCUAAUACAUGCAAGUCGAGCGAACGGACGAGAAGCUUGCUUCUCUGAUGUUAGCGGCGGACGGGUGAGUAACACGUGGAUAACCUACCUAUAAGGACUGGGAUAACUUCGGGAAACCGGAGCUAAUACCGGAUAAUAUUUUGAACCGCAUGGGUUCAAAAGUGAAAGACGGUCUUGCUGUCACUUAUAGAUGGAUCCGCGCUGCAUUAGCUAGUUGGUAAGGUACGGCUUACCAAGGCAACGAUGGCAGUA